CCGCUGCCGCCUGCGGUGGGACGUGCUGAGGGAUGAAAGCCCGCCUGGGCGCCUCAUACCAAGGCGGGACCUGAGUGAGUUUGCCGCUGCUGGGAGCCGCCCGAGACGCCUACCAGGAAAAUGACUGAGGUCAGCUCUUGAUGCUGGUGGCAUGUGGCAGUGACCUAGACAGCAGCAAGUACCCUGGGUGCAGCACACUGAUCAAAAUGGCCCUCAUCAUUUGAAGCUCAGCUCUGCUGGUGGACGUUUGCCACGUGAAGUGAAGCUAUCCUCCAGUGUGUCAGAGGAAGUGAGAAGGAAAGGAUAUACUCUCAGGAGCCAGGUUAUGAAUCAAGAGAAGAUUACUCCUUCCCGAACUUGGCAGGCAACCAAAGGAAGUUCUGAAGCAGAAGAUUCAAACAAUAAAGGGCCUGGAUAACUUGCGCAAACAUCCAUACCGCUGAUGAACUGUGCAAGAGGAGUGUUUGCUAUUUGUGUUUCGCUUUCACACCACCUACCUCGGUAGUUAACUGGUCCCCGUUACUUCCCACCCAGUGAUUCACAUCAGCAAGUACCGGCGUCCCCUGGCUGCCUUGCA